AUUGAACGCUGGCGGCAGGUUUAACACAUGCAAGUCGAGCGAGCGGCGGACGGGUAAGUAAUGUCUGGGAAACUGCCUGAUGGAGGGGGAUAACUACUGGAACCGGUAGCUAAUACCGCAUACCAUCAGAUGUGUCCAGAUGGGAUUAGCUAGUAGGUGGGGUAAUGGCUCACCUAGGCGACGAUCCCUAACUGGUCUGAGAGGAUGACCGCCCACAGUGGAACGGAGACACGGUCCAGCCUCCUACGGGAGGCAGCAGUGGGGAAUAUUCCACAAUGGGCGAAAGCCUGACCCAGCCAUGCCGCGUGUGUGAAGAAGGCUUUCGGUUCUUAAAGCACUUUCAUGGGGGAGGCGUUACUCGCCGAAGAAGCCCCGGCUAACUCCGUGCCAGCAGCCGCGGUAAUAC
rnacentral:rRNA from 1 species